rnacentral:rRNA from 1 species
UUAGGCAUGCAAGUCGAACGGUAUAAACCUUCGGGGUUAGAGAGUGGCGAACGGGUGAGUAACACGUAGGUAAUCUACCCUCAAAACGGGGACAACCCAGGGAAACUUGGGCUAAUACCGGAUGCGUGCAAGCAAUGUUUGGCUGUUAAUGCUAUUCACGGAAGUGAGUAGUGUUAAUGGUUGAGAGCAUUAUUUGCAUAAAAGGUGGCAUAUGCUGCCGUUUGAGGAUGAGCCUGCGUCCUAUUAGUUAGUUGGUGAGGUAAUGGCUUACCAAGGCGAUGAUAGGUAGGCGGCCUUAACGGGUGGUCGCCCACACUGGGAUUGAGAGACGGCCCAGACUCCUACGGGAGGCAGCAGUCGAGAAUAGUCUACAAUGGACGGAAGUCUGAUAGUGCGACGCCGCGUGAACGAAGAAUCCCUUCGGGGUGUAAAGUUCUUUUAUACGUGAGCAGUGCCCUUUAUAUGAAUAGUAUAGAGGGAGGGAUUUAAGCGUAUGAAUAAGCAACGGCUAACUCCGUG